GCCCCUUUUUUGCUCAGCAAAGCGGAUAUUGGAUUGGGAGAUGCUGGUGACAUCAUGUCGUCCCUAGCCCCCAAACCUGUUGCUGCCUGCUGCUGCGGCCACGACCGCGCAGCUCCCCGACAUCUAGGCCACCUACGAGCCAAUCACUCCGCCGGUCGGAGACGCUCCCGUCAAGGACGCAGAGGAAGCUUUAACCGGCGGAGUUGAUCAACUCCAGUCGUCGAAGAUUCUCUCAAGUGAGCCAAUCUUGCCGCCUCCUUCCAGUUAUGAUGAUCUUCCGUAUGAUCGACUUGUCCAUCCGGAAGAAGCAGCAGGUCCAGCGUCCCAGGAGGUGUUCGGGUAGCGCAUCAUCAAGGAUGUUGGGCCCGAAGAUGUAGAAAAGAGUCUACUGGAGUCAAAGGAGAUUGCCCCUCCUAUUCCUACAUGAGAACCAGAGUUGGCGCCGGACAAGAUCAAGUAUGUUGAAGAGAACAUGGCAAGAUGCCAAAAAUUGCUGGCGGAUAUUGCCAAGUAUGAAGGCGCCUGGUCCCAGGAGUUCAAGAAGUUCAAGAUCGAAGAGAGCCAAGAAGCUCGUCUCCUGAAGGAACAAUUGACAAAACUUGCAGAGGACAAGAAAGCUCUCGAGCAGAGAUAUAAGUCACUACAAGAAAAGAACAAAUCAAUUGCAAAGAAGCACAAAAGAUGAAAUUGAAAAGCUAACCCUCAUCAAGAAGGAUGCCACCGCCAGAUCGUUGAGACAAUGCAGGAUAUCAAAAAUCUGGCUGCAGAAAGAGAUCGAUACAAGAAGGAACUCGACGAGCUGAAGGUGGCUGCUCAAGCUGUCAUCGACAUGGUCGACCCAUCCGAGGAGGGUGGGAAUCAGCUUGAGUCAAUGGGCAAGCUCCAAGGGACUUGACCCCAAACUUAUACAACCUGGCAUGGAGGAAGGGACUGACAGUCCAAGAGGAGAUAGAGAACCAGACUUGGACAAGAGUCCUUUGGCGGAUGUCUACAGCAAUAUAAAUGACAGAGUUUGUACUUCCGUGGAAAGUUGUAUAUGAAGUUCUUUUUCACAAUUUCCUGAUGAAAUCACUUGAAGGUGGUGAGGUUCAGUUUGUUGGUUGUACAACACUUUCAAUAGUCAAGCAAUUUGGAGGGCGAAGGCAGAAGGCAAACAUGGAUUUUUUGCUUGGCUAUUGGUUCAGGGCAAGAUCCAGAUAGCUCAGGAGCAUGAAACGGUGGCACAUCUGUGCUUGCACUGCUGCUUCUCUAGGGAAGUUUGGUGCUUGGUGCAAAUGUGGGGCGGGUGGGUUGAUUAGCAUUCUAGUGACAUGCGUGGAGUUGGAGGAUUGGUGGAACUCAUCGUGGCAAACAGCAAGUGUAGAGGACAGGGGCCGUGUGGCAGGUUACUGAUCUACACGGCUUGGAAUGUGUGGAAUGAACGGAAUCGACACGUCUUUUAGGGGAUAUCGCAAACACCUUCAGGAAUUCUGGGCUUAAUCAAGUAGGAGAUGGAGGUUCGAUGACAAGCAUAUGAGGCCCGGGCGGCCGUCUAGUCAUUUCAUAUAUCUUUUCUUUAAGAGCUUUAGUUUGUUGUUUUUUUAUGUAAUCUCAACUAUUGUAAGAACCAACUUUCAUCUCUUUCUUAUAUAACCCGGCGGUGCUCCUGCCAUUAAG